rnacentral:rRNA from 1 species
GAUGAACGCUGGCGGCGUGCCUAAUACAUGCAAGUCGAGCGAACAGACGAGGCGCUUGCUCCUCUGACGUUAGCGGCGGACGGGUGAGUCACACGUGGAUAACCUACCUAUAAGACUGGGAUCACUUCGGGAAACCGGAGCUAAUACCGGAUAAUAUAUUGAACCGCAUGGUUCAAUAGUGAAAGACGGUUUUGCUGUCACUUAUAGAUGGAUCCGCGCCGCAGUAGCUAGUUGGUAAGGUAACGGCUUACCAAGGCGACGAUGCGUAGCCGACCUGAGAGGGGGAUCGGCCACCCGGGAACGGAGACACGGUCCAGACGCCUACGGGAGGCAGCAGUAGGGAAUCUUCCGCAAUGGGCGAAAGCCUGACGGAGCAACGCCGCGUGAGUGAUGAAGGUCUUCGGAGCGUAAAACUCUGUUAUGAGGGAAGAACAAAUGUGUAAGUAACUAUGCACGUCGUGACGGUACCGAAUCAGAAAGCCACGGCUAACUACGUG